CCUACGGGUGGCAGCAGUGAGGAAUAUUGGUCAAUGGGCGGGAGCCUGAACCAGCCAAGUCGCGUGCAGGAUGAAGGUCCUACGGAUUGUAAACCUCUUUUGUCCGGGAACAAAGACUCUUACGUGUAGGCGUUUGAGUGUACCGGAUGAACAAGCAUCGGCUAACUCCGUGCCAGCAGCCGCGGUAAUACGGAGGAUGCGAGCGUUAUCCGGAUUUAUUGGGUUUAAAGGGUGCGAAGGCGGAGUGUAAAGUUAGCGGUAAAAUCUCGGGGCUCAACCCGGGCCCUGCGUUGAAACUGGCGUGCUUGAGUGGGCGAGAAGCAUGCGGAAUGCGUGGUGUAGCGGUGAAAUGCAUAGAUAUGGCGCAGAACCCCGAUUGCGAAGGCAGCAUGCUGGCGCCGAACUGACGCUGAGGCACGAAAGCGCGGGUAUCGAACAGGAUUAGAUACCCCGGUAGUC
rnacentral:rRNA from 1 species